UACGAAGGGGGCUAGCGUUGUUCGGAAUUACUGGGCGUAAAGCGCACGCAGGCGGCUCGAUAAAUUAGAAGUGAAAGCCCCGGGCUUAACCUGGGAAUUGCAGUGGAUACUGGAGAGCUAGAGUGCGGUAGAGGGUAGUGGAAUUCCCGGUGUAGCAGUGAAAUGCGUAGAGAUCGGGAGGAACACCAGUGGCGAAGGCGGCUACCUGGACCAGCACUGACACUGAAGCACGAAAGCUAGGGGAGCAAACAGG
rnacentral:rRNA from 1 species